AUAAUUUAAAAAGAUAAAAAAAAGGUUAAUUCCAUACAAGUCCUUACAAAUAUAGUAAAUUAUAAAUAUAUUUGUGUAAUUUUUAUAUAUUAUUUCUGUAAAAGUUUUGAUAUUUUUAUAUGUCCCUAUGAUUUAUUACCGUUAAAUUAUUGUUUACUUUAUAAGUGAAAUAAUUUUAUUGGCAUCACAAAUAUGGCCCUGUCCCAACUCUUAAUUAAGUCAAUUAAUCUCGUUAACUGACUAGGUUUAAAUAUUUUAUAUAUGUUUAACUAAUUUUUUUGAACGAAUCCUAACGGUAGGGACAUAUUUGAAGAUUUUAGAAUUUUUAUAGAAACAAUAUAUAAAAAUUAAAUUUUAUAGAAAUAUAUUUGUAAUUCAAUAUAUUUAUAAUAACAAAUAUGAAAUUAACCUUAAACAAAACACGGCAAGUCAUUAGCCAAUGAGAGUGUCAUAUAUUCUUAUGAGAGUGGGCUGGUAUGCUUCUGGAAGCACGGAGCCCUCCGUGUUUCCAAGUUGUUUUCGAUGUUCGGACUUUUGAAUCGACAAUCGGCUCCGUUAGAGUUGAUCUAGAGUAUUUGAAGUAUCUAAAAAAUAAAUUUUAUGAUUUUUCGAUAUCAUUUGCCUAGUGAUCGAAGCGGCUCAAAAUCAAUAAUUUUAAUAGCCGUGGUGAGCCGUUUGCAAGUUUAACGGUGUAGAAAUAUCCAAAUCACAUGAAAUUUUGAUAGAAAAUUUUUUAUACCAUAUAAAACAAGAUCAAUAACUUUGAUAUAAAAUUUUAAUGUCAUAUCAUCAUAUUUUAUAAGAUUUUUAUUUUCAGCCGUUGAUUUUGAGCCACUUCGAUCACUAGGCAAAUGAUAUCGAAAAAUCGUAAAAUUUAUUUUCUAAAUACUUCAAAUACUCUAGAUCAAGUCUAACGGAGCCGAUCGUCGAUUCGAAAGUCCGAACAUCGAAAACAACUUGGAAGCACGGAGCGCUCCGUACUUCCAGAAGCAUACCAGACGCACUCUUCUUAUGAUGGGUAAUAUCUGUUGGUCAUG
rnacentral:lncRNA from 1 species